rnacentral:lncRNA from 1 species
GAAAGAAAAUGUGAACUCAGAUCCAAUACCUUUUAAAGAAGGGGUUAACACCCUCAUAAUUUCAACAUACUCUUUUAUAACUUUUAAAAUUUUUAAAUUUAUUAUCUAGUUUAGAAUGUUGAUUUUCAGUUUUGAAGUGUGUAAUGGACUUUCUGGAUUAAUUUAGAAAGUAAAACAUCAAUAUUUUUAUAUUCCAGAAUAUACAACUUAAAAAAUAAAAUAAAAUUUAUUUUAUAUUAUAUAUUAUAAAAUAUAAAUUUGUAUUUUAUAUUAUGUGAUCUGAAAUAGAAAAUAAAAAUUGUAUUUCAAAAUUUAGAUUUUGAACUAGAAAAUAAAAAUUGUAUUUCAAAAUUUACAUUUUGAAAUAUAAAAUAAAAAAAAAUAUUUGAAAAUAUACAAUUUUAAAAUAUAUCUCUAAAUUUAAAAAUACAUUCUGGAUGUGAAAUGUAGAAAUUCAUUGUAUUUCUAAAUUCAGAAUGCAUUUUGUAAAUCUAAAAUAGGGCACUUUUAUCUUUUCACUACCCCAUGGGGUGCACCUUUAAAUUGUGUGAGUGUGGAAUGUAUUGUCCUUAAGAACAUGGUAUUCACUGUUUUGAUUUUUGGUUUAUUUGAAGACCUCUUCAUUUUGCACCUCUAUCAUUUAAAUCUGCAUCCCAUGGGAUUUGUGAAAUGGAAAAAAUAUCCUGCUUCAAUUUCUAAACAUGUUUUCAAAAUGGUUCCGGAUUGUACAAUCCAGAACAUAUUUGGUGGUUUUUGUACAUUUUAAAUUAUGCACUUUGGAAUGUAUUUUUUUUUUUUUAAAAGUUUAGUACUAGCGGAAGAAUUUGGCAUUUGGCAGAGAUGUAAUUUGGAAUAGAGAAGAGAAAUUUCAAGUCGAAACUAAGUUUGUCUUAAAACUCUAGAAGGGUGAUGAUUGAGGCAAAUUGAAGUUGGUCUCUCAUGGUUGUAAAUUAAGUAAGUUUGGAUCCCUUGUCCACAAAUUGAGACAUUGGGUUGUUGCUAUUGUGCAACAUUAGCUAUGAAGCCGCUGAUAAGAGUCUUAUUUCAACUUUUAUGGAAAGGUGACACCACGACACCAACACUUUCAAAUUUCCCUAUGGGUGAGAUGAUCAUUAUGAUAAAUGAUAUGUUUGUAUUGUUGCAUCUCCCAAUAGUGGGAUAUUUUUGUUCGUAUGUUACGUUAGAUUUCACAUCAGACGAUUUUUUAGCCAAUUUUGGUAUUAUCGAUCAUCUUAUUAUCAAUGUGACACUGACUUCACAUCCAUCAACAUGUGUAGUUAGAUACAUGUUAUCACACCCAUACAUAUUUCUUGAUACGAAUGAAGAUCGACCAAUCAAUAUGGUAUCAGAGCGGGUUAAAGUCCCGCUCUGCUUCCGCUCUUUCUUUUGUUCUGAUUUCUGGGUUUUUUCUUUAAUUUCUUUUUGUGUGAUUCGUGAUGGAAACUAAUUCUGGUAGUAGCAAAGAUUCCACUCUGAAUUCAAGCAGUAACCAAGAUCCCACACAAAACCCAAGCAGCCCUUAUUAUCUACAUCUUGGAGAAAAUCCAGGAACGGUUUUAAUCAAUCUUUAGCUUGACGGCAACAAUUAUCAUCCGAAGUUGAAUACCGUGCACUCGCUACUCUAACUUGUAAGAUUCAAUGACUAAAAUAUCUCAUCGAUGAAUUCAAAAUAAAAAUUCAGACCCCAAUUGUUGUCUACUAUGAUAGUCAAUCAACAAGAUAUAUAGCUCACAAUCCAAGCUUCCAUGAAAGAACAAAGCGUAUAGAAAUAGAUUUUCAUGUUGUACGUGAAAAGUACAAUCCAAACUCUUCCAGUUGUUGCCAAUCUCCUCAAAUCAUCAAACUACUGAUGUUCUCACUAAACCACUUGAACAUGGUGGUUUUAUUUCUGCAAUUUCCAAGUUUGGGUUGAUAAACAUCUACCACUAAGCUUGAGGAGGAUAUUAAGUUGUUAUUUUGUUAUUUAUUUUUGUUACUCUGUUUCUGUUUAACAGAGUCUUAUAUAUAUUGUAUUUUUUUUCCAGAUAUAAUAGAAUAAUACAUUUUCUUUUUCUUCUUCAUUCUCUUCUCUUACUUUUCCACCGUUUCCUUCCACCACACUAUGCGUGUCAUGGCAUAGCACUGCCCUCUGUCACAGAAGGCUAAGCACACCCAAAAGGGUUGCAGCACUCUGGUGUGAGUUAUAAGAAAAACCAGAAUCCAAUACAUGAAGACUAGAAUCCAAUAGAUGGUGGAAACUUAAUAGAAAAGACCAAAUUGAACAUUCUUAAAAAACAUUUGGACCAAAUUGAUUUUUUUUAAAAAUCUUUAAUAUUGACUUUAAAUAUAAGGACAAAAAGGUAAUUAUAACAAAAAUAUAUUAUACAACAAUUUUUAAUCGUUAAUAUAUAAUAUAUUUUCAUGGUUUAUGUCAAAUGUGUUUAGUUUAUGUAAAUAUCGUUAUCACUAAAAAAUACUUUUGUAUUAAAAAGUUUAAUAUUGAAACAUAUAUUUUUUGUAUAAAAAAAAUUAUAUAUUAAACAACUUACAAAAAUAUAAAAUAAAAAUUAAAAAAUUUAUAAUUUGUACAAUUCAAAAUAUAUAUUUUUAUUUUGUAUUAUACAUUUCAAAAUACAUUUUUGUAUAAUGUAUUUUAGAUUGUAGAAUGUAAAAUAUAAAUUUCAAAAGGUAAAACUAAAAAUUAAAUUAAUAUAGAGGUGCAAUUUCAAAUGCGGAAGGCAAUGGAUCACUUGAUGAACACUCCUACCAAUAAAUAGCUCAGUAAUUAGUUUUCAAAAUUAUACUUCAUUUAAAAGAAAUUAUAUGUGAAUUAGAUUUUAACAUAAUCUUUAAUUGUUGAUAUUUUAGUCAAUUAUAACAUUUGAUUUUUAAUUAUUUAAGAAAAGAGAACUUACAACAUUUAAUGAGACUCCUCAGCUUGCAAUGAAACUAAUUAUUUUCAUUUCCUCUUGAGGCAGUGGAAUUUUUUAUCUAGCUCAGUGAUGCUUCUGAGAUCCUGCUUUUGUUCUUACAUUAACCUGAAUCAUUUGGAAAGAUUGUGUUAACAGGAGCUUUCUACCACAAAUAAACUGUUUCAACAAACAGAAUCUGUCACAUCCUUAGUCUAAACGAGGAAGCUUGCAAGAUUAAAAAAAUUAAAUUGGAAAAGUAAAAGUAACUUUUACUUAUGAACUUUAUUAUUAGACAAGACAGGUCUCCAUGUAAAAUCUGGGAAAAAUCCAAAUUACGUGUCUUUUAAAAAAUAAAAGUCACACUUUUUAAAAGCUAAAUACAAGUGUCGGAGUUAAACCGUUAAACUGAAUUAUAAGAUAUGAUUUCAAAAUAUACUUUAAAAUAAGAUAUUCUUUAAUAAUAAUUUCAAUAAUUAAGAUAGGUCAAACAAUAAUUGAUUUUUAUUAUGACAACAAUAAGAAAAUUAUUGAACGAAGGGAAAGAAAAACAUGAAUAUGCUGAGAAGAAAACAAAUUGGAGACAACUCCAUAAAACGAAACAAAACCAGAAAAAUUCAGGGUGUUUCUUCCUGUACCUCUACAAAUGUCUUCCUGCACUCCAUCAUUUUCAGAAAAGACUGUUUUACCCCUUAUAAAAAUGGUUUCUGAAUUGCUCUUUCUGAAAUAUUUCUGGAAGAUAUUUUAUAAACUCUUGAUUUAUCAAUCUGGAAAUAAAAAAUAUGAUAUGGAAAGAAUAUUCUAGAACGAUUUUUUGUUUUUUGGAUUUCCUAUUCCAGAAACUCCCUUUGCUUACGAAAUCUUUAUUCAAGAAUCAUCCAAAACUGUGAAAGGUAAUUUUAAUAUUGUGAAGAAUGUAGGGGUGCAGGAAGAAAAAUGUAAACGUGCAGGAAGAAACACCCAAAAAUUUAUGGCAAAUGCUCCCUGCACCCAACACUUUUGAACCUGCACCCAACAUAAUUUCAAAAAUUCUAAAACUACCCUUUAUUCUGGAAAUAAAAAUCCGGAAUUGAAAAUAAUGCAUUCCAGAAAAAUAAAUCUGAAAGAAAUUUUUGUAUUCUGGAUAUAAAAAUCCAGAAAAAAAAAUCAAAAUCUCAUUCCGGAUAAAAAAAUUCGGAACUGAAAAUAAUACAUUCCAGAAAAAAUUAUCCGGAAGAGAUUAUUGUGUUCCGGAAAAAAGAAUCCAGAAUGUAAUUUUAUAUGUACCCCAUUUUUUGAAGGGUAUUUUCGGUUUUUCUCCUAUGAUUGGAUGCAGUUAUAUAGUGCAGGAAGCAAUUGCCAAAAUUUAUUACUGUUUCAAACAAGGCCCAAAGACCAGUUUGUAAAGACAAAAAAUAAAAAUUUAUUACUGUUUCAAACAAGGCCCAAAAUUUAUUACUGUUUCAAACAAGGCCCAACAGGGGUACAAAUAAAAAACUUAAUAUCCUCCCUCAAAUCAAGGAAUAUUCAAACAUAUGCUUCACAUCUUCUCAUUGGAUUAGGAAUAGGCUUUACUCAACCAUACCUACGUCUGCAAGAAUGUCUAAGAAAAUUCUUUUUGACACAUAAAUACCUCUAUCUGAACCAACAAUCUCAAGAUCUAAGAAAUACUUAAAAUUACCAAGAAUUUUUUAUCUAGAAAACAUUAUGUAAAAAUAUUUUAACAUUAUUAAUAUCAUAUAUGCAAUCUCCAACUAAAAUAAUGUCAUAUUUGUUUUCCUUGUAACCAUCUACAUAUAAUUCAUUAUCAAUUUUACUCUUAUUAAUAUAUUUUAUUUUAUUAUUUUACUCUUUAAAUUUUUAUAAUUAUUUUUUAUGAACAUAGUUCUUUUAAAAUCUAAUAAUAAUUUAUUUUAUUAUCAUAAGAAAAAAAGUGGAUACAUAUGCAACGGUAGAUGCAUACGUAUUUCCACUAGUAUUAUAAUAAAAUGAAAACAUUAAAUAAUUAAUAAAAUAAAUAAAUUUAAUAUUUUCUGAAUAUCUGUUUUGUAUUAUAAAAAUAAAUAACUAAAAUAAUAAAUAAAAUAAAAGAAUUUAAAUUUUGAUAAUUUUCUUAAUAUAUUUUUAUUUUUAUUUUUAUUUAAAAUUUAUUUUAUUUUAAUUUACAUUUUCAGAAAUUAAUUUUUGCAUUAAAUUAUUUUUUAAAAAUUGUAAAUUAUUUUCUUCAUAUAUUAAUAUACAAUUAAAAUUAUUCUAUCACACAAAUUAAAAUUACAACAAAUUUUUCACUUAUUUUCUCUCACUUUUUCACCAGCUUCUUCAAUUCAAAUAACAGUUUUUUUCACUUUAAUGUAUUCUAUCACUUUUUUUCCUUUUCACUCAAACAAAACAAAACAUAACCGACUAUAUAAUACUAACUUUCAUGAAGCCCACACAAUACAAUGGACCAUAUAAAACAGAUAUCAGGAACAUCAACACAAACCUAUUCUGAAAUGUUUCCAUCCUGUAUCCAACCUAUCUAAAACAGCGUCUAGAAACUGCCGAAUUUAACAGAAUGUUAGGAAUCAAGAAUUGAAAAGAGAAAGAAAAGAAAUAUUUUUAUUGAAUAGAAUAAAAUGAACAAGAAAUAGGACAGCACUCUCUCCUCCAAGACCAAGAGUUUCCCCUUCACACAGAAUUUGUCCUUUCACAAAGAGCUAAUGCUCAAUCUACAAAUACAAAAUGAACACCUUCCCCUCUAUAUCUAGUAUCCUCCUAUUUAUAGAUAUGAUUGGCACGAUCCAUGAUAUCCCUCUAAUAACUCCCUGUAUUCUGUAUACAGCCUAAUAUAAAAGCAAGAACAUACGAAUAUUUAUAGUGAGAAUACUACGUAUCCAUUCAGUAAAUAGCACUACUCUUCAAGCUCAUUCUUACUCAAUGUAAGACCAAACUCACUUGAAAUCCUAACAUAUGGCAAACCAUUAAGAGAGACUUUCCUUUUUUACUAAAUGUUUUCUUGGAUUUUCCUCUUUUAAUAAAUUAUUUUUCAUUUGAUCUACUCUUCAUCUUAGUUCUAACGGGAGCCUGGAGGCUCUAACUCUCUUCAAUAUAGCCUAAUAUUGU